GUAGGGAAUAUUGGGCAAUGGAUGCAAGUCUGACCCAGCCAUCCCGCGUGCCGGAAGAAGGCCCUCAGGGUUGUAAACGGCUUUUGACGGUGAAGAAUCGACAGGAUGCGUCCUGUUUUGACGGUAGCCGUUGAAUCAGCACCGGCUAACUCCGUGCCAGCAGCCGCGGUAAUACGGAGGGUGCGAGCGUUGUCCGGAUUUAUUGGGUUUAAAGGGUGCGUAGGCUGGAAGGUCAGUCAGCGGUGAAAAGCUGUCGCUUAACGAUAGUCUUGCCGCAGAUACUUCCUUUCUUGGAUGAGGAGGAGGCCACUGGAACGGAUGGUGUAGCGGUGAAAUGCAUAGAUAUCAUCCAGAACACCGAUUGCGAAGGCAGGUGGCUGUACCUUAAUCGACGCUGAUGCACGAAAGCAUGGGGAGCAAACAGGAUUAGAAACCCGUGUAGUCC
rnacentral:rRNA from 1 species